GGGGGCGUUUUGGAUUCGACAGGGGUAGGUUGAGCUUAAGCUGCGCGUCGAGGUUACGACUCGUCAACGUUACAAGCCUUUAACUGGCAAAGAAGAAAAUUUCGCUUUAGCUGCUUAAUUGCACCUAAAGGACUCUAGACGUUAUCUCCCGUGUAACGAUCCGGAGUCUCAAAUUCAGCGGGAUAAACGUUCACCCUCCGUCUGCGGGUAGGGCGUUGAAACCAAUCAGACUAGCUGUUAGGACGCCUGUUAGUAGGCAUAAUAACAAGCGAAUCUUAAAUAUACUAACUACACGUGUAGACGCUUAAGUGUCAUUACUUUUGGACGCGAGUUCGACUCUCGCCGCCUCCA
rnacentral:tmRNA from 1 species